AACCCAUGAUGAUGGCACCUUCUCAGAAUAUCCUUAAAUCUCUCCCAUGCAUCAUACAAUGUCUGAAGCU
rfam:Gossypium arboreum cultivar AKA8401 contig_27620_5, whole genome shotgun sequence.